rnacentral:misc_RNA from 1 species
AAGUCGUAACAAGGUAACCGUAGGUGAACCUGCGGUUGGAUCAUUAAUAAAUUUAUAAAGGUUAAAGGUCUUUACAGAUCUUUAACUCUUUAACAAAUUUGUGAACUUUAUUAAAGUCUUUUGGGAUGAUAGUAAUAUUAUCCCAAAAACCCCUUUUAAACAAUUUAUAUUUUAUCAAGUCUUUAACAACCUUUAAAUUUAAUUUAAAAAACAACUUUUGACAACGGAUCUCUUGGCUCUC